UACAGAGGUCUCGAGCGUUAGGCGGAAUCACUGGGCUUAAAGCGUGUGUAGGUGGAUGCCUAAGUACCUUGUGAAAUCCCACGGCUUAACCGUGGAACUGCUUGGUAUACUGGGUGUCUUGAGUCACUCGAGGGGCGAGCGGAACAAAUGGUGGAGCGGUGAAAUGCGUAGAUAUCAUUUGGAACGCCAAUGGUGAAAACAGCUCGCUGGGGGUGCACUGACACUGAGACACGAAAGCCAGGGGAGCGAACGGG
rnacentral:rRNA from 1 species